rnacentral:misc_RNA from 1 species
UGCUGGUGGCGAUCGGGGAUGUUUUGGUGCCGUGCGUGUUGGUUUCCAGUUUUACUUGUUUGAGUUGCUAUGGAUUUAAGGAGCAUUUGCAUAGAUACGCCUUCAAGAGCUCCUUGACAGAUAUUCCUCUUGUUUCCGUUGUCAGAUCUCUUAUCAUCAUCUGUGUUUAUUUGAUGUGUGAUGCCCCUGCUCUCUCACAUGGUCCCUACCUUGGAACUGUGACACUCUGUUCUGUUGUUUCAGUUCUUCUUCUUUCAGUUAAGGCUUGUGU